AACAUGCAAGUCGACGAUGAACCUCACUUGUGGGGGGAUUAGUGGCGAACGGGUGAGUAACACGUGAGUAACCUGCCCUUGACUCUGGGAUAAGCCUGGGAAACCGGGUCUAAUACUGGAUACGACCUUCUGGCGCAUGCCAUGUUGGUGGAAAGCUUUUGUGGUUUUGGAUGGACUCGCGGCCUAUCAGCUUGUUGGUGGGGUAAUGGCCUACCAAGGCGACGACGGGUAGCCGGCCUGAGAGGGUGACCGGCCACACUGGGACUGAGACACGGCCCAGACUCCUACGGGAGGCAGCAGUGGGGAAUAUUGCACAAUGGGCGCAAGCCUGAUGCAGCGACGCCGCGUGAGGGAUGAAGGCCUUCGGGUUGUAAACCUCUUUCAGUAGGGAAGAAGCCGCUCCUUUUUGGGGGUGGUGACGGUACCUGCAGAAGAAGCGCCGGCUAACUACGUGCCAGCAGCCGCGGUAAUACGUAGGGCGCAAGCGUUAUCCGGAAUUAUUGGGCGUAAAGAGCUCGUAGGCGGUUUGUCGCGUCUGCCGUGAAAGUCCGGGGCUUAACUCCGGAUCUGCGGUGGGUACGGGCAGACUAGAGUGCAGUAGGGGAGACUGGAAUUCCUGGUGUAGCGGUGAAAUGCGCAGAUAUCAGGAGGAACACCGAUGGCGAAGGCAGGUCUCUGGGCUGUAACUGACGCUGAGGAGCGAAAGCAUGGGGAGCGAACAGGAUUAGAUACCCUGGUAGUCCAUGCCGUAAACGUUGGGCACUAGGU
rnacentral:rRNA from 1 species